UACGAAGGGGGCUAGCGUUGCUCGGAAUUACUGGGCGUAAAGCGUGCGCAGGCGGUUGUGCAAGACAGAUGUGAAAUCCCCGGGCUCAACCUGGGAACUGCAUUUGUGACUGCACGGCUGGAGUGCGGCAGAGGGGGAUGGAAUUCCGCGUGUAGCAGUGAAAUGCGUAGAGAUGCGGAGGAACACCGAUGGCGAAGGCAGCCCCCUGGGCCAAUACUGACGCUCAGGCACGAAAGCGUGGGGAGCAAACAGG
rnacentral:rRNA from 1 species